AUGCCUUGGCUUUAUCUGCCUCAUAGGAUCAUUGCCAGUCCCAAGCGGGCUCCCCUGGUUUCCUCCGAGCUCCGGUGGGAGGGAGCUGCAGCGCUAAGAGGCGCCACUAGGGCGCAGCAUUGCCUGCGAGAUCGCGCGGCUGAGCCCCCCACACUCCCCGCAGCUGACCGCAGGUGUCCCAAGGCAAGGGACGGUGGUGGCAGGAGAACUUGCAUCUCUGAAUUUCCGAGGCCAACUCGGGAAGAGAGGAGAGGACGCUUUGAGAAAGACGAUGUCUCCAGCUGCGGCAAGCUGGAAAGAUGGCCAGUAAUCUCUACACCCAAUAUGGGGCUCAAACUCACAACCCAAAGACCAAAAAGAAUCACCUGGGCUUCUGACUGAGCCAGCCAGGUGCCCCCACUGUGGACAUUUUUCAAGGUGACAGAGGUAGGUCUUCCUCAUUCUUGUUAGGAGUUUUACAGAAGUUCGAAAUAAUAAUUCCUAGAAUUUACUUACCCUUCCCCAAUCAAUCGACAGUGCCAUUAUUUCUGUGGUUUUUCUAUUUAAAAAAAAAAAAAUGCUGUGGUGAAUAUCCCUGUAUGUAGUUUUCUAUUCCCCUGACACUGUUGUUUCUUUAAGAGAAAUUCCUAGAAGUGAGAUUAGCUGGGUCGUAGGCUGUGACCUUUUCAAAUUUUGAUGGUGAUGGCGGUGACGAUAAGGAUAGAAGCUGACUACAUUUAGCAUUGACUUUGAAGUGCCAGGCAUUAGAAGCACAUUUUGCUCACUAUUUCAUUGAAGUCUUUUAUCAAGUCUAUAAGAUACAUCCUCUUAUUGUCCUCAUUUCUCAUGCAGUGACCUUGAGGCCUACAGAGGUUGGCUCCCUUGCCCCAAAUCACAUGGCCAGUAAACAGACCGUCCUCCAAAAAGGUGAUGCCAAUUUCCACUGUAGCAACAGGACCCCUUUCUUCACAUCUUCCCCAACAGAGGAUGUAAUGGUCUCUGUGCGAAGUAACAAUCAAAAGGUACCUGUCUUUGGGUUUGCUUCUUACUCCUUGAGGUUGCGUAUCUUCUGCGGUCCCCGUCACUACAACCCUGUUUCAGACCAUCGUCUGUUCCACUUGGACCAGAGCCUUGAUGGGCACCUGCUGCCGGGGUUCCCCCUUCCAGGCUCACUCUGUCUGAACAGGCUCACCCUCUCCUGAAGCCCUUUGACAAAGUUCUGGUUCCUGGAUCUGACCGUUGAGGCCCUGCCAGCCUGUCCAAGUCGGCAUUUUCCCUCUGGCCUUCCUGUCCCUUUCCCAUCAGCUUUCACAAACCACGUCCACGUACUUCCACAUGGACAUGCCAUUAUCUCUGGAAUGGCCUUUCCAUCUUUGAUAGGCCCAGAAAACUCCUACUCAUCCUUCAGAGCCCAACCAAAAUGGCCCCUCUUAAAAUCCAGGUGAAACCAAGAAUACCAAAAUGUUACCUGUGACAGAGACUCACAAGUGAUAUUUAUUUCUGUUAUAUGCCUUUUUUCUAUUUUUUCUUUUCAACGUUUUUAUUUAUUUUUGGGACAGAGAGAGACAGAGCAUGAACGGGGGAGGGGCAGAGAGAGAGGGAGACACAGAAUCGGAAACAGGCUCCAGGCUCCGAGCCAUCAGCCCAGAGCCCGACGCGGGGCUCGAACUCCCGGACCGCGAGAUCGUGACCUGGCUGAAGUCGGACGCUUAACCGACUGCGCCACCCAGGAGCCCCUGUUAUAUGCUUUUUUUUUUCUAAAUGUUUUGCAACGAGUAACCAUUACUUUCAUAAGUAGGAAAAAUAAAAUAACUUUAAUUUUCGAACA
rnacentral:lncRNA from 1 species